GGCGAAAUGAACCAAGAAAUAAUUUCUUAUGAUGAAGGAUGCUUCCCCAAUGAUGAAAUGAUGUUAAUCCCAGUAAUUUGGAUUCUUUGCACUUGGUAGGCCAUGAGAAUGAGCAGAGUGCCCUCUUUGCUACGAUGGUUUUGCAGUUCUGCUACAAAGAGAAUUAUUACUGCAAAAGACCAUUCUUCAGUUCAGCUUAACAUUGGUCAUAUUGAUGACAGUGGAUUUGAGCUAGCUAGUUAUGGAGAACUUUUGAAGGUGCAUUGUGAGGUUUGAUGGCUUUGUAGAUGAGAAUCCAUUAUCUCCUGAUUAUAAUUAUGUGAAUCACUUCCUUCAUGCUACAGCCUAAUCCCUCACGGUGCUUUUGAUUCCUUCCAUGAUGUUAUUAGAGUAUGAGUACUCCAUCAAGAUCCCAAUGGUGAAUGAUCAGAGAGGAACUUAAACACAAGAAUGAUGGAAGUAUGAAUCUCUUAUCAUGAGCUUGGUGCUACAAAGUCGAAGGAGUGUUCAUCUUUUAUUUAAAA